rnacentral:snRNA from 1 species
CAGCUCACUUCAGCAGCACACAUACUAAAAUUGGAACAAGAAGAUAAGCACGGCCCCUGCACAAGGAUGACAUGCAAACUCCUGAAGCACUCCAUAUUUUU